GGUCCGGUAGCUCAGUUGGCAGAGCGGGGGACGUCGGUCCCUUGGUGGUGGGUUCGAGCCUCACCCGGAUCA
rnacentral:tRNA from 1 species